rnacentral:rRNA from 1 species
UACGGAGGGUGCAAGCGUUGUCCGGAUUUAUUGGGUUUAAAGGGUGCGUAGGCGGCCUGGUAAGUCGGCGGUGAAAGCCCGGGGCUCAACCCCGGAACUGCCAUCGAUACUGUCAGGCUUGAGUACAGGCGAGGUUGGCGGAAUGGGCGGUGUAGCGGUGAAAUGCAUAGAUACCAUCCAGAACCCCGAUUGCGAAGGCAGCUGACUAGGCUGUAACUGACGCUGAGGCACGAAAGCGUGGGGAGCGAACAGG